rnacentral:lncRNA from 10 species
AAUCAAUAAUCCUGGUUUGCCCAGGGCUGAGGGAUUUCCUGAGACUGGACUUUCAGUGCAAAAACUGGGAAAGUACCAGGCAAACUGUGACAAGCUGGCUACUCUGGUUAGGAGACUAUUUCAGAAGGUUCUGGUGUGAAACGAUGAUAGCUUGGACCAGCUAAAUGGAGAUGAUUAUGAGAUGUCAGAUUCUGGAUAUAUAAUGGGUGUUGAUCUCAUGAGCACUCCCCAAAAACCUGCCUGCAUGCAAAUCUGCAUCUCUGAGUCAGAAUCCAGAGAACCUGACCUGCAACAGCUGAUACCAGCAGUGGUCCAAGAAAGCAAACUUUACAGUGGGAUUUUGGAGCUGUUUACUUGCCAGCUGGCUAGCAAGGAGAGCCCUACUGCUGAUUAUAGUUAGACAAUCAGGAACAGCUCAUCUCUGCUCAAUGUGGUAUCAGCUGGGACAACUCAUCUUGAGACUGGAAUAUCUGCUUCCAAGAAUAUCCACAAAUUGAUGCUGGCUGUUGGCUGGGAGCUCAGCCAAUGCUGUGGCCUGGGGGCCUUGGUUCUCUCCCACAUAAUCUCUCCACAGGACGCUUGGGCUUCCUCACAGCAUGGUGGCUGGGUUCCAAUGUCAUCAGAGAUGGAGGCUGUAUUGCCUUCUAUGACCCAGCCUCAGAAGUCACAAAGUGUCCUGCCACCGAAGUCAUAAGCCAGCCUGGAUUCAAGGGGAUGGCACAAAGACCUCUUUCUCUCAAUUGAAAGAGUAUCAAAAUCACAUUAUAUGCAUAACAUAUGAGGUGGGAGAUAUUGCAGUGACCAUCUUUGGGAAAUUCAUCUAAUCUGUCCCAUGGAUAGGCAAACACUCUCACUUCCUGGUGGACCCAGUAUUUGAACUCAAGUUCUGCUCAGUACAUUUUGUUCUAGGAGGAGGGGAUAUAUGUCACACAGUCUAGAAGGACU